AUUGAACGCUGGCGGCAGGCUUAACACAUGCAAGUCGAGCGGGGUGAUGGUGCUUGCACUAUCACUUAGCGGCGGACGGGUGAGUAAUGCUUAGGAAUCUGCCUAUUAGUGGGGGACAACAUCUCGAAAGGGAUGCUAAUACCGCAUACGUCCUACGGGAGAAAGCAGGGGAUCACUUGUGACCUUGCGCUAAUAGAUGAGCCUAAGUCGGAUUAGCUAGUUGGUGGGGUAAAGGCCUACCAAGGCGACGAUCUGUAGCGGGUCUGAGAGGAUGAUCCGCCCCACUGGGGCUGAGGCACCGCCCAGAAUCCUACGGGGGGCAGCAGUGGGGAAUAUUGGACCAUGGGGGGCACCCUGAUCCAGCCAUGCCGCGUGUGUGAAGAAGGCCUUAUGGUUGUAAAGCACUUUAAGCGAGGAGGAGGCUCUUUUGGUUAAUACCCAAGAUGAGUGGACGUUACUCGCAGAAUAAGCACCGGCUAACUCUGUGCCAGCCGCCGCAGUAA
rnacentral:rRNA from 1 species